rnacentral:rRNA from 1 species
GACGAACGCUGGCGGCGUGCUUAGCACAUGCAAGUCGAACGGAAAGGCCCUGCUUUUGUGGGGUGCUCGAGUGGCGAACGGGUGAGUAACACGUGAGUAACCUGCCCUUGACUUUGGGAUAACUUCAGGAAACUGGGGCUAAUACCGGAUAGGAGCUCCUGCUGCAUGGUGGGGGUUGGAAAGUUUCGGCGGUUGGGGAUGGACUCGCGGCUUAUCAGCUUGUUGGUGGGGUAGUGGCUUACCAAGGCUUUGACGGGUAGCCGGCCUGAGAGGGUGACCGGCCCAAAUGGGGAUGGGGAUCCGGCCCAGACCCUACGGGGGGGAAGCAGUGGGAAAAUUGGCACAUGGGGCGGAGCCCUGAGGCAGAAACGCGGGGGGGGGGAGGCCGGCCUUCGGGUGGAAAACCGCUUUGGCCUGUAACGAGGCGUGGGUAAGGGUAAUGGGAAAAGAAGAACCGGCUACCUCCGG